ACAUUUUCGUGUGCUAUAGUCCACGCCUUCUGCCGUGGGCCCGGAACCCUAGAUCUGGAUCGCCUAAUAAUUUUUUAGGACAUCAAAUACGACCUAAGGAACCAUGGUCACCGCCUCGCUUGAUUAAAUUACAUUUUUUGGCAUUUUACGGCCAUAAAACUGGAAUUUCGCUCGAUUCCCAUAUUUUUGUGUGCUAUAGUCCAUGCCUUCCGCCGUGGGCCAGGGCCCCCGGAUCCGGAUAGCCUAAUAUUUUUUCGGGACAUUAAAUUCUAAGCAAUGAUAGUCACCGCCCCUCCAUGACCAAAUUACCUUUUUGGCAUUUUACGGCAAUAAAACUGGAAUUCUGCUCGAUUCCCAUAUUUUCAUUUGCUAUAACCCACGCCUUCCGCAGUGGGUCCGGGCCCCCGGAUAACCUAAUAUUUUAUUGGGACAUGAAAUACGACCUAAGGAACCAUGAUCACUGCUUCGCCAUGACCAAAUUAUAUUUUUCGGUGUUUUACGGCAAUAAAACUUGAAUUCCGCUCCAUUCCCAUAUUUUUGUGUGCUAGAGCCCACGCCUUCCACUGUGGGCCCGAUCUCCGGACCAUGAUCGCCUAAUAUUUUUUUGGAACAUCAAAUACGACCUAAGAAAAAAUAGUCACCGCCCCGCCAUGACCAAAUUAUAUUUUUUGACGUUUUACGGCAAUAUAACUAGAAUUCCGCUCGAUUCCUAUAUUUUCGUGUGCUAUAGCCCACGCAUUCCGCCGUGGACCCAGGUCCCCAGACUCGGAUCGCCUAAUAUUUUGUUGGGACAGCAAAUAUGAACUAAAGAACCAUGGUCACCGCCGCGCCAUGACCAUAUUACAUUUUUUGGCGUUUUACGGCAAUAAAACUUGAAUUCCACUUGAUUCUCAUAAUUUCGUGUGCUAUAGCCCACCAGACCAGGAUUGCUUAAUACUUUUUCAGUACACCAAAUACGACCGAAAUAAUCAUGGUCACCGCCCUACCAUGUCCAAAUUACAUUUUUUGUCAUUUUAUGUCCAUAAAACUGGAAUUGCGCUCGAUUCCUAUAUUUUCGUAUGUUAUAGCCCGCGCCUUCCGCCGUGGGCCCGGGUCCCCAGACUCGGAUCACCUAAUAUUUUUUUGGGACAUCAAAUACAACGUAAGGAACUAUAGUCACUGCUCCUCCAUGACAAAAUUAAAUUUUUUGGCAUUUUACGUCUAUAAAACUGGAAUUCCGCUCGAUUCCUAUAUUUUAGUGAGUUAUAGCCCACGCCUUCCGCCGUGGGCCCGGGUCCCCGGACUCGAAUCACCUAAUAUUUUUUCGAGACAUCAAAUACAACCUAAGGAACCAUGGUCACUGCCCCUCCAUGACCGAAUUAUAUUUUUAUUGGCAUUGUACGUCCAUAAAACUGAAAUUCCGCUAGAUUCCUAUAUUUUCGUGUGCAUAACCCACGCCUUCUGACGUGGGCCCGGGCCCCCGGACCAAAAUUGCCUAAUAUUUUGUCGAGACAUAAAAUACGACCUAAGGAACCAUGGUCACCGCCCCGCCAUGACCAAAUUACUUUUUUGGCAUUUUACGGCCAUAAAACUAGAAUUCUGCUCGAUUCUCAUAUUUUCGUGUGCUAUAGCCCACGCCUUCCGCCAUGGGCCCGUGCCCCCAGACCAGGAUCGACUAAUAUUUUUUUGGGACACCAAAUAUGACCUAAAGAACCAUGGUCACCCACCCGCAAUGACCAAAUUACAUUUUUUGGCAUUUUACAGUAAUAAAACUAGAAUUCCGCCUGAUUCCCAUAUUUUCGUGUGCUAUAGCCCACGCCUUCCGUCGUGGGCCCGGGCCUCCGGACCAAUAUUGCCUAAUAUUUUUUCGGGAAGUCAAAUACAACUAAACGAACCAUAGUCACUAUCCCACCAUGAACAAAUUACAUUUUUAGUGCUUUACGGCCAUAAAGCUGGGAUUUCGCCGGAUUCUCAUAUUUUUGUGUGCUAUAACCCAUGCCUUCUGCUGUGGGCCCAGGCGACCAGACCAGAAUCGCAUAAUAUUUUUUCGGGACAUCGAAUACGACCUAAGCAAACAUGGUCACCGCCCCUCCAUGACCAAACUACAUUUUUGGCAUUUUAAGGCCAUAAAAUUGGAAUUCCACCUGAUUCCCAUAAUUUCGUGUGUUAUAGCCCACGCCUUCCGUUAUUGGCCCGGGCCCCCUGGACCAAGAUCGCCUAAUAUUUUUUGAGGGCAUCAAAUACGACCUAAGGAACCGUGGCCACUGCCACUCCAUGACCGAAUUACAUUUUAUAGUGCUUUACUAUGAUAAAACUAGAAUUCCGCACGAUUCUCAUAUUUUCAUGUGCUAUAGCCCUCGCCUUCCACCGUGGGCCCAGGCCCCCUGACCCGGAUCACCUAAUAUUUUUUCGAGACAUCAAAUAUGAUCUAAGGAACCUUGGUCACCGCCCCUCCAUGACCAAAUUACAUUUUUUGGCAUUUUACGGCAAUAAAAGUGGAAUUCUGCUCGAUUCCUAUAUUUUCGUGUGUUACGCUUUCCGCCGUGGGUCCGGGCCCCCGCACCAGAAUCGCAUAAUAUUUAUUUGGGACUUCAAAUACAACUUAAUAAACCAUGGUAACCGCCCCUCCAUGAUCAAAUUAUAUUUUUUUGGCGUUUUACGGCGAUAAAACUGGAAUUUCGCCGUGGACCCGAGCCCCCGGAUCCGGAUUGCCUAAUAUUUUUUUUGGGACAUAAAAUACGACGUAAGGAACCAUGGUCUCUGCCCCGCAUGAUCAAAUUACAUUUUUUGGCAUUUUACGGCCAUAAAACUGGAAUUCCGCUU
rnacentral:lncRNA from 1 species